ensembl:lncRNA
CCCCCAGCCGGCGCUGGUAAGGAAGACAGUCUCAGGAUUUUAGCUUUAUAUGAUGGAAGAAUGUGUUGAGUAAAUGACUGGUGAAAGGUACGGGCGUGUCACUGUGAGGGCGCUUCAUUAGUCUCUAAUAAACCAUGUGCACACUCUCCUGGCGAGGCAGGUGUUUAAUGAUGCUGGGGUUCAACGCUGAAUACACAGGCGGGUUAUUCCUCUCAUCAGCCAAGUAUCCCCCCUAUGAUAAUACUACGAUAAUACUACUGACCCUGCACAAAGUGACUGUUAUGAGUGCAUUCUCCUGAUGAUGCCAAAGGCUUUAGCUAAGUUGCCUGGGCUCUGCCAUUGGACGGUGUGUCGCUGUUCAAUUUGAAAACAUUUUGCCGUUUUAAGCUGGAUGUAAUCAUGUGGCAACAGCUCUUGUGUUGUCAAAUAACAAUUUAAACAAAUUGUGAAUGGGAACGCUUCUUUUCUUUGAUUCUUUAUUUAGUUUUUAUUCUUAUUCUUUUAUUCUUUCAAGGACUGUUUGCACUAUAUUUAUUGGGGCCAAAGUAACCAGGAAGAAGAGUGGUUUGGGGUUUACUCUGAGGUUUGCGUCCAGGUUCAGUGUUUUUGAUCGUCACCUCAAUGUUAUCUUUUCUGUCUUGUUUUUCUUUGAGUUUAUUUUGGGGGGUGUAUUUGGGGUGUUAUGAAAUACCGUCUAACUUAUAUAUAUAUAUGCACUUUGAAACACUUAACAAGGAUGAAUGUAUUAUAAUCUUUUGAUUCCAUUCAAAACAAGUUGAACCAAGGUUGUAGUUGAGUAUCUGAUAAACCACACUGAUUGCAUAUCAGAACACGCAUAAUCUGUGUAAUUUUACAAACAUUGUUUUUUUGUAGUUUACAUAAUGCCUUUUAAAUUUGGGGGCGGUUCAAUUUGAAUUUUGUGAAACGAAUCAAAAAAGUAUCUAUACUCAGAAUAAAUAUAAAAUCUAAAUGCAACUUAAUAGCAUGUUGAUAGUGUAUGUUGAACUUCCACGUUUACCAUUUCCAGAACAAUAACAUACUCUCGGUGUGGCAACAUUUUGGGAAGGUAUGAAUCUUCAUAUGAAAUCAUUGAAAAAAUAAUCUGUGGAAGACUUUUGUAAAUGUACUUGCGUCCAUUCCUUCAGUGUCUCGCUGAAUUCCUUUAUUUCUGCGUCCACAUGUUGAACCCAAAGUGUGAAGCGGUGUCUGGGAGGGCCUGGUUCUCUGAGGCUGAGGCAGGGCUACUGGGCUCGGUGUCUCUGUAGAUAGGAAGUCAUUUAUGCAGAAACCGCUCACUGUUUUUUGUUAAUAUUUGCCAAACAUUGUUUUAGGAUCUUACGCUCUGCGUUUAUUACUGUGCCAUUGUGUCUCACAUCAGGAAGGGUCACAAACGUUUUAAUCUCAGCUGUAAUGAAUGUGUGCUCGUUUGAAUCUAUGGUGGCCUUUACCUUAUAUCGUAAGGCUGGUGGCUGGACUGUAAAUGUUUGAAGCGACAUCUUGACAUCCAAAAGUUUUUAAUAUGAAGAAGUGAGGCCAUAUCCCAAGGCAGUGAUUGUAAAAUAUGUUUUAUUUGCUUAGCCAUUCAUGAAUGCAAAAUCGUUUUUUACAGAUAAGUAUUUGAAACGAUGUAGAUGAGAGUCCUAGUUGAAACUUAUUUAGCUUGUUAUGAAGACGCUAUGUACCUUUUACAACAAUAAAACACUUUUCGCAUAGUUGUGGUUUGUUUUAUACACAUGAGUUUACCAGCUGAACAUUGUGAGUUAAAUAAGUUUAGUGUUAUUGAUUUCUAAUGAACACCGAAUAGUGAAUUGUACUGCAAAACAAUUAAUAUGAAAGGAAACAAUGAGUCUAAGAAAACGUAAUGUCUACAG